rnacentral:misc_RNA from 1 species
GAUGAAGAACGCAGCGAAAUGCGAUAAGUAGUGUGAAUUGCAGAAUUCAGUGAAUCAUCGAAUCUUUGAACGCACAUUGCGCCCGCCAGUAUUCUGGCGGGCAUGCCUGUUCGAGCGUCAUUACAACCCUCAGGCCCCCGGGCCUGGCGUUGGGGAUCGGCGGAGCCCCCCGUGGGCACACGCCGUCCCCCAAAUGCAGUGGCGGUCCCGCCGCAGCUUCCCUCGCGUAGUAGCUAACACCUCGCGACUGGAGAGCGGCGCGGCCACGCCGUUAAACCCCCAACUUCUGAACGUUUGACCUCGGAUCAGGUAGGAAUACCCGCUGAACUUAAGCAUAUCAAUAAGCGGAGGA